GCAAAAGCAUUAAAUAAGGAUUCUGCACAGCAAAGAACAACAGGUGAGAAAGAAAAACUUGGCAAAAACUAACGCAAUAGGUGAAAAUCGGCAUGAUGAAUGAAUCAGAAAAAGAUUGUUGUGCCAAUUCACAUGAUAAGCAAGUGCAGAAACAAUAGCAGGAUUAAGAUGCCUCAAGACAUAUAAAAAUUAAUAAUAAAAAUGUGAAUACUAUUCAAACUUAAAUGAGCAGCUCGAAUCAGGGAAACCCCACUUAGAAUUUCAACAUGACACUUGCUGGUUUUCCUCACAUGAACCAUCUUCACUUUGGCAUUAGAAAAUUUUGAGGAAGCAAUUCUAGGUAGACUAUGUCUAUGUUUAGCUGUAGACUAAGCCAAUAGGAGCAUGCCACAUAAGCACAACUUGUACUUAAUCAUGGUUGAGGAUGAGAUUUAACCAUGAAUUUUGCUGAUGUAGUGCAAUUCUAUUGGUAUAGGCUAUAGGCAAAUUAUGAACUGAUUCUAUCUAAGAAUAGAUUUUGGGACAAAUGGUUGCAUCAGAUAUACAUAGUUUGAUAUUUCCCAACCUAAAUAUAUUCCAUUUGGAGUCUGUAGGAUGCAUAGAGAUACACAAAUACAUGUAGGCAUAGUGUUUCAAGCAUAUCCACUCACAAUUCUAAACUGAAAAUACAUAAAAAUUGUUGGUAAGGGAAAUGUCAUGACAUGAGUAAAGGGCAGGAGAAGAAAGUUAUAAUAAAACUCUCCAUAACCAUGCCUUUACUUUGACAGCUCCAUACUAGAGAUAAUUUCUAUAAGUAUACCACAAGACCUAAUAUACAAAAAUUUCAAAACAUAAAAAAAAAGAGUAAAUAUAAGUGAUUUUGGACUUAUAGUUGCCAAGAUUACCAACUAAUAUUCCUGCUGUCAAA
rnacentral:misc_RNA from 1 species